rnacentral:rRNA from 1 species
UAGGGAAUCUUCGGCAAUGGGGGGAACCCUGACCGAGCAACGCCGCGUGAGUGAAGAAGGUUUUCGGAUCGUAAAGCUCUGUUGUUAAGGAAGAACGAGUGUGAGAAUGGAAAGUUCAUGCUGUGACGGUACUUAACCAGAAAGGGACGGCUAACUACGUGCCAGCAGCCGCGGUAAUACGUAGGUCCCGAGCGUUGUCCGGAUUUAUUGGGCGUAAAGCGAGCGCAGGCGGUUAGAAAAGUCUGAAGUGAAAGGCAGUGGCUCAACCAUUGUAGGCUUUGGAAACUGGUUAACUUGAGUGCAGAAGGGGAGAGGGGAAUUCCAUGUGUAGCGGUGAAAUGCGUAGAUAUAUGGAGGAACACCGGUGGCGAAAGCGGCUCUCUGGUCUGUAACUGACGCUGAGGCUCGAAAGCGUGGGGAGCGAACAGG